rnacentral:lncRNA from 1 species
AUGGAAAGUGAUGGAAUGCCUCUGGAUACUCCAGGUUUGUCAUUGGUAACCAGGUGCAGUAACACAUGAAAAGUCAAACAAACAUUGUCCCACAGCAACAAUCGCUACAGAAGUGACAUUUAUUGACAUUCUGCUGUAUUUACAGGUUGAACAUAGUAAAACUCCAAAGUGAAUGACCACUUGGCAGAAAGCACAGGAGUGCACAUUAAAUCUACAUUUCCAACGCAUCAGAGUCUCUGCUAACACAAAUUAUAAAAGCAAGAAUUACAGGUAUGUUAGGAAUUGUCUCAAAAGUCCCAAGCCAAAGAAAAAAGAAAGGCCUUUGUUUUGCAAGAUGGUUUUUAUACAAAGUUGCAACAUGAUCUUUCAGUUUUACACUACAGACUCGUUCUGUGAAAACCCCUGGAGAGCCCAAACAGUUGGUGGUGCGAAAGGAAAGGAUACUACAACACCGAGAAUAAAGACUGUUAAAAGUUAAUACUUGUGCCACCUCUAAAUUCCCAAUGCCACCUCUGAGUCUGGACUGCAGCAAGCUCUGUUCCUCCACAGGCCCCCAGUGCUGGGAUUGCAGGAGCACAGCCACCCUGCACUGCCAGCUCAGCUCCAGAGCCACCCCCAACAGCACAUGGGGACAGGGAUGGACAGGGAUGGACAGGGAUGGACACGGGGACAGGGAUGGACAGGGACGGACACAGGGACAGGGAGGGACAGGGAUGGACACGGGGACAGGGAUGGACAGGGAUGGACAGGAGAGGACACAGAGCACACGGAGAUACAUGGGCUGUACAGGACACAGAGCACACACAGACUGUCCAGGACAGGGUGACACUGCACAGGACACAGUGUCACACCCUGCACAGGACAGUGUCACACCCUGCACAGGACAGUGUCAAACAGCACAGGACAGUGUCACACAGCACAGGACAGUGUCACCCUGCACAGAACAGUGUCACACAAUGCACAGGACAGUGUCACACCCUGCACAGGACAGUGUCACACCCUGCACAGGACAGUGUCAAACAGCACAGGACAAUGUCACUAUGCACAGGACAGUGCCACACCCUGCACAGGACAGUGUCACCCUGCACAGGACAGUGUCAAACAGCACAAGACAGUGCCACACCCUGCACAGGACAGUGUCACCCUGCACAGGACAGUGUCACAAUGCACAGGACAGUGUCACACCCUGCUCAGCACAGGCACAGCUCCCAGGCUGGAGGAGGAACUAAAGCAAGCCUGGCCCCUGCUGGCCCUGCUUUGGCUCCCGCUGCCCAAGCACCACAAACUCGGGCUGAACGCCUUCAUCAGCACGCCACAGACUCACUGCAAGAGCUGCUUCAAACAUUAGCCACUAAUGAGUCAACAAUUACAGAAUUCUGCGUUAAUUAUUAA